GAUGAACGCUAGCGGCAGGCUUAAUACAUGCAAGUCGAGGGACAGCACAGGUAGCAAUACUGGGUGGUAACCGGCAAACGGGUGCGGAACACGUACACAACCUUCCUUUAAGUGGGGGAUAGCCCAGAGAAAUUUGGAUUAAUACCCCGUAAUAUAGUUGAAUGGCAUCAUUUGAUUAUCAUAGCUACGGCGCUUAAUGAUGGGUGUGCGGCUGAUUAGAUAGUUGGCGGGGUAACGGCCCACCAAGUCUACGAUCAGUAGCUGAUGUGAGAGCAGGAUCAGCCAAACGGGCACUGGGACACGGGCCGACUCCUACGGGAGGCAGCAGUAAGGAAUAUUGGUCAAUGGACGCAAGUCUGAACCAGCCAUGCCGCGUGAAGGAUUAAGGUCCUCUGGAUUGUAAACUUCUUUUAUUUGGGACGAAAAAGGGCCUUUCUAGGUCAACUGACGGUACCAGAUGAAUAAGCACCGGCUAACUCCGUGCCAGCCGCCGCAGUAACAC
rnacentral:rRNA from 1 species